CUUACACAUGCAGUCGAGCGGAGAUGAGGUGCUUGCACCUUAUCUUAGCGGCGGACGGGUGAGUAAUGCUUAGGAAUCUGCCUAUUAGUGGGGGACAACAUUCCGAAAGGAAUGCUAAUACCGCAUACGUCCUACGGGAGAAAGCAGGGGAUCUUCGGACCUUGCGCUAAUAGAUGAGCCUAAGUCGGAUUAGCUAGUUGGUUGGGUAAAGGCCUACCAAGGCGACGAUCUGUAGCGGGUCUGAGAGGAUGAUCCGCCACACUGGGACUGAGACACGGCCCAGACUCCUACGGGAGGCAGCAGUGGGGAAUAUUGGACAAUGGGGGGAACCCUGAUCCAGCCAUGCCGCGUGUGUGAAGAAGGCCUUAUGGUUGUAAAGCACUUUAAGCGAGGAGGAGGCUACUGAGACUAAUACUCUUGGAUAGUGGACGUUACUCGCAGAAUAAGCACCGGCUAACUCUGUGCCAGCAGCCGCGGUAAUACAGAGGGUGCGAGCGUUAAUCGGAUUUACUGGGCGUAAAGCGUGCGUAGGCGGCUUUUUAAGUCGGAUGUGAAAUCCCCGAGCUUAACUUGGGAAUUGCAUUCGAUACUGGGAAGCUAGAGUAUGGGAGAGGAUGGUAGAAUUCCAGGUGUAGCGGUGAAAUGCGUAGAGAUCUGGAGGAAUACCGAUGGCGAAAGGCAGCCAUCUGGGCCUAAUACUGACGCUGAGGUACGAAAGCAUGGGGAGCAACAGGAUUAGAUACCCUGGUAGUCCAUGCCGUAACGAUGUCUACUAGCCGUUGGGGCUUUGAGGCUUUAAUGGCGCAGCUAACGCGAUAGGUAGACGGCUUGGGGGAGGUACGGUCGCAAAGACUAUAACUCA
rnacentral:rRNA from 1 species